rnacentral:rRNA from 1 species
UGUAUGUAUACCUACACAAUUGAUUUGAAUUGAUUUGAAUUGAAUUGAAUUGAUUUGAUUUAUUCUAUUCAGACGGUUGUGUUGGACAUGAUCACUUGACUUGAGAGUGAGUGAGUGUUGAUGAAUGUUGCGUUUUGUGUGGUCAUGUUCAGUGGGAUUGGUGGUGUGAUUUGACGGUCACUCCACUCAAGUGUAUCGAUAGUACCGCGACAUUAACUGAAACUCUAGUUCGAUCUAAAUGUAAAUCAAAUCUAAUCUAAGCAAUGUAAUGUAGUUAUUAUUAUUAUUAUAUUGGAGGUGAUGAUUGUUGAAUGUGUGAGUGGGUAGAUUAGAUUUUAGAUCAAUUUGAGUUUCCGUCGUCGUUGGACUAUUGACAAAUUACUUUAUGUUGUAUGUGUGUGUGUGUGUGUGUGAAAAGUGAAGUGCAAAGUGAAAGUGAUUUGUACACGGCUUUUGAUUUGGUGUGGAAUGUCGUUUAGUGAGUGUUUGCGUUGGGAAGCAUAAGCAUAGCGUGUAUUCAAGUCGACUGACUACUGACUUGUGAGGAGAAAUACAAAUAGUAAUAAUAAAUGAAUA